CAAUAGCGUAUACUAAAGUUGUUGCAGUUAAAAGACUCGUAGUUGGAUUUCUGGUUGUUCAAUUCGGUCUGCUUCGCAAGGAGUGUGUACUAGAAUUAGAUGGCCAUCCUCGAAGUUUUGUGUAUCUGGCAUUUAGUUGUCGGGUAUAUGAUCUUCGUCAUUUACUGUGAGUAAACUAGAGUGUUCAAAGCAGGCUUAGGCCGUUGAAUACAUUAGCAUGGAAUAAUAGAAUAGGACUUUGGUUCUAUUUUGUUGGUUUCUAGGACCGAAGUAAUGAUUAAUAGGGACAGUUGGGGGCAUUAGUAUUUAAUUGUCAGAGGUGAAAUUCUUGGAUUUAUGAAAGACUAACUACUGCGAAAGCAUUUGCCAAGGAUGUUUUCAUUGAUCAAGAACGAAAGUUAGGGGAGUCGAAGACGAUUAGAUACCAU
rnacentral:rRNA from 1 species